UUCGCAAUGCCCGAAAGGGUGAACGAGCGACGCCGCGUGCGGGAUGAAGGCCUUCGGGUUGUAAACUCCUGUCAUUCGGGAACAAUACCCUGGUCGGGAAUAUCGGCUGGGAUUGCUAGUACCGGAAGAGGAAGCCACGGCUAACUCUGUGCCAGCAGCCGCGGUAAUACAGAGGUGGCGAGCGUUGUUCGGACUUACUGGGCGUAAAGGGUGCGUAGGCGGCACUGCGUGUCGGACGUGAAAGCCCACUGCCUAACGGUGGAACGUCGUUCGAAACUGCAGGGCUAGAGUUCAGGAGAGGAGAGCGGAAUUCUCGGUGUAGCGGUGGAAUGCGUUGAUAUCGGGAGGAACUCCGGCGGCGAAAGCGGUGCACUGGUUGAUUUCUGACGCUGAGGUGCGAAAGCCAGGGGAGCAAACGGGAUUAGAUACCCCGGUAGUCCUGGCCGUAAACGAUGGGCACUAAGUAGAGGGGUUUU
rnacentral:rRNA from 1 species